AUUGAACGCUGGCGGCAUGCCUUACACAUGCAAGUCGAGCGGCAGCGCGGGGGCAACCCUGGCGGCGAGCGGCGGACGGGUGAGUAAUACAUCGGAACGUGUCCUUUCGUGGGGGAUAACCAGCCGAAAGACUGGCUAAUACCGCAUGAGAUCUCACGAUGAAAGCGGGGGACUCCGAGGGUACUUCGGGGCCUCGCGCGAUUGGAGCGGCCGAUGUCGGAUUAGCUAGUUGGCGGGGUAAAAGCCCACCAAGGCAACGAUCCGUAGCUGGUUUGAGAGACGACCAGCCACACUGGGACCUGAGACACGGCCCAGACUCCUACGGGAGGCAGCAGUGGGGAAUUUUGGACAAUGGGGGCAACCCUGAUCCAGCCAUGCCGCGUGUGUGAAGAAGG
rnacentral:rRNA from 1 species